GAGGGCCUUGGUGGAAGGGAACCCGCUCUGUAUGUAGAUACAAAGGGCUCAUUUUAAGGCGCAACCUGUAUCUGCAGAGGAGGCGCACAAAAACAGCUGAUGUCGGGGCGGAGCAGAGACCUA